CCCUUAGAUGUUCUGGGCCGCACGCGCGCUACACUGACGAAGUCAGCGAGCAUGUCCUACGCCGACAGGUGCGGGGAAUCUUGUCAAACUUCGUCGUGAUGGGGAUUGAUUUUUGAAAUUCUUGAUCAUAAACGAGGAAUUCCUAGUAAGCGCAAGUCAGCAGCUUGCGUUGAUUACGUCCCUGCCCUUUGUACACACCGCCCGUCGCUACUACCGAUUGAAUGGUUUAGUGAGAUCUUCGGAUUGGCGCCACUGCAGCUCAGCAAUGGGCUUGGUGGACGCCGAAAAGUUGAUCAAACUUGAUCAUUUAGAGGAAGUAAAAGUCGUAACA
rnacentral:rRNA from 1 species